GUCGCGCAGCGCGUGGCACACGCGCGGCAGGACGUGGAGCACGAGGCGCGCGUCCAGGCAGCGCGAGGGCACUUCCGGCGUUGCCUGAUGACGCAACCUUGCCAACCGGAAGCGACUCGCCCGCGGGAAGACUACCAAGGACACAAGAGGCCAGAGACUGAGGAGUUCACAAGAAACUGAUCUUUACUCAACAAAGUUCUACACAAGUGGAAUCUCACGCCGCCUCGGCGCCAGUCCCCAGCACAGCACGGUGUUUGGAGCCCCCCAUCUUGGGUGGAGAGGGGGUCACCAAUCCCAUCAGACGGCCAAUCCAUCCACACACCCCAGACCCUGUGGAGGAUGCUCCAAAGAACUGGAAUUACCAGAAAAUG